rnacentral:lncRNA from 1 species
CAGAAGACGCAAAGAUGGUGUCAAGUCAAUUAGUAACCCAAAGAAGGUGUUUAUGGAAGAUAAAAAGGCUUCAGCUCCAUUUAUGUGGAGAUGGCUGGAGUUCGGAAAGUAACUCAAAAGUGGUUUCUGCUGAGUUCUAGGGUACUGGUAGUUGAUUUACUCAGAGAAUGUUUAUCCGAAGUAGUUAAUGGUGAUAGCCUGACGAGAAUGUUUUAUCAGAAAGAAUUAUUUAGUAAAUAUGGACACUAGAAGUUUAUUUAUUCUGGAAGAUAAUGUUUUUGUAUGAUGGUUGACGGUUAAAAUUUCAGGUUUUGAUGGCGGAAACAUUGUCCUCGUAGUAGCUCUGAACUUAGCUCCCGGAGGUAUGUCAUUUUUCUGUCACCUUUACUUACAUUUUGUUGAGUCAUGCUGCUAUGGUUUAGGUAAUUCCUUUAUCUCAUUUUAUAUGACUUGUCUAGUCUAGCAACAGAUUAUCUAGAAUCACGAAUUAUAUAGCAAAUGUCGUGAAGUUAUUUCAAUGUCAAGAAUCAUGAUCAUUUAUUUUUGUUUUUCUUUUGCACCCUGGGAUCACUCAUCAGAAGGAGAACCACUAUGAUCCACUUCCUUCAGAUCUUGAUACUUGUAAAACCAAGCACAUGUUACAUAGUAACCAAAGUUCAAU